AAAAAGUCGGAGGCAGUCACGGCAUGUGGAGUUUGGUGUGAUAUUUCCAGGACCUGGUUUCAGCUCCAGUACAAAAAUAAGGAGUUUAAGCAAUAAUUGAAUAAGCAGACCAUGUCAGAGUUUGAGGUGGAAACACCUACAUCCAAUACCAGAGAUCCAAAAUUGGAUCAGGGAGAAGAAUCUACUGAAGAGAAGUUGACCUUUGACAUUUUUGACCCUGAGGAAGAAGGUCAUCAACACAAAGUAACAGUGAAAGU